CUGCAGCAACGCGUCUGGCGUCUGAUUGGAUGAGCGCCACGCCAGUUCUCGGAUAAGCACCCGCCUUUCAGGUCACAAUUUGUCGUUGAUUGUUUACUUCCGUUCUUCAACUGGCUCAUCCAACUGUUAAACCAAAGGAAGUGACAACAGGCGCCCGUCCUGGCUCGAGCCCACCGCUUCAAAUGAGGCCGGCACGCCGAAGGCCUUUCACUCACUGAUGCGGAAAGGAAGUCGACCCAGCUUCGGCGUUAGUAUCAGAAGCCUCUUUCACACAAAGACCCAGCAAAACCCAGACUCUAGAAAUACUCAAGCAGUAAACAAACAUGCCGAAAUGCAGACGCAGCACAGAACCACACUUUUCGAGCCAGGAGGAAACCGAAUGCUUCAUUCCUGUGAUGAGUGACAUGAAUGUACAGUAAUGUGUUUUAUUGAUGGUGGACAGUCAAAGCGGAAACUACGUCUAUUUGCGUCACAGCGUUAAUCGUUCUUUGUGGUUUGGAUCGGGAUAUUCCAAUUGAGCAUAGUUACCAUGGGUUAUCCCGAAGGUUUCCGAAACCGAAUUUCGACUUUAACCCGAAUAUUGACUGCCUGUACAGUAAAUGUAGUCAGUGCUUUCAAAGAAAAGCCUAUAACAGAGAAUAUCAGCAGUCCUACGUAAAAUAUCGCUACAGCACACACACUCACACGCUGGUUGCCGUUUUUCCGUUUAUGUAAAUUAAAAUAAAUUAAAUGCAAAAUUCUCAGACUUUGGUUCGCAGCUGGAUGGCUUAGUUGGUACACAGCUAACUUUGGACACAGCGGGAAUAGGGUUCAAAUUUCGGUCAGGGCCUACAGCCCACCCAUGGAAAAUGGGUGGGUUGCAUCAGGAAGGGCGUCUGGUGUUCAAGAUAUGCCAAACAUAUCAUGUUACUUGUUUAGGUGAAAGUUGCUCGAUUGUCUUUUUAACCACAGCUAUCCUGAUAACCUGGUAAGCCAUUUCUUAGUAACUUUAACUCAUCAUUGUGGGUAAUUUUUACCCCAUUUGGAUCAAAAUCUUGACCCAGUGAGCUGGGUCAGCUAAAUCACUCAAUUUGAUGAAAAUAAAUGAAAAGUAACACUACUUUUCAUUGGUUAUUCUCAUGCACCCGGCCUGCUCUGCGUAAUAUGUGGCAACAGACUUGAAGACAGAGACACUGCCCAAAGAAAAAAUAAAUAAAUACUACACGGAAUACUUUGAUUCAAUUUCUCCUAUCUUUGUGAAGGAAGAUUGAGGGUGUAAUUGUUUCCCAUUUCCCCAAGAUGAGAACAGCUCGUUGAAGAGAAACAAGUACAGGGCUUCCACUAAUUCCAUCAAUGAUAUUCAUUCAGUUGUAUAUUCUUAUAUUGCUUUAUUAUAAAACCUACUGCUUUCAGAAUUGCCUCUCACACAGCCCUACAAAGUCCUUCUGAUACAACAAGCUCAGAAGCCGGAAAUUCCACAAGUCGACUUCUAAAACCCCAUUCCAUGCUUGUACCUUACAUACAGAUCACAGACACGAGGGCGGAUGAUCUUUAGAUACGCAAUGUCUAAUUACACCGCUGUUGGAUGGCAACAAUUGCUUUCACCACAAAAGGCCUGGGAAAAUGAACGUUGGGCACUUAACUUCACACCCAUGUUCCAACACUGCGGAAUUCAAGUAUACGUCAGAAUCACUAGGCUCUGAUACCACCUUCAAAGACAGAAAAUUGCCAAAUUGCCCCCUUCCCCCUCCUCCUCAUUCUGUGUGACUGCAAGUUGUACUGAACAAAGGGCACGGAAGAAAGAUGCAAACGUCAACUUUAACCGGCAAUGUAAAAGCGACGAGAGGCCUAACAGAGGCAGGAUGACACAUGUGUGAGCAUGCAAAAUAUUUUGUACGUCAGAACAGACGCUGACUCCAGUCAAUUGAGUGCAUGUUGCCAGGUCACUGUUUCAAAUAUUCACUGAGUUCUGAGUUGAGGGCAAAGGCAGCCAAUUUUGCAGGAUGUUCGUUUGAAAGAGGCUCAUGCAGUAUGUUUGUGCAGUUGACUGCAGCGUUUCAGGCCACAAAUUACGAGUAGCAUGUUUCACAUAGUAUAUUUGUUUCAAAAUGUUUUUUUAACUUACCCCAAGCGAGAUAUCUUGUCAAAAGCGUCUAAUUUUAGCACGUCUCCUGGGAUCCUCACCACCCUUUUUUUUUCUUCUUCUAAAUCCGCCUCCUCCCCGCCACUGCUGCAACCGCCCGCAGAUUUCAAGGAAGCCUUCGGGGCCAUAAGCCUAUUUAGUGACUCACCUCACCUUCAGAAAUAUAAUUACAAAAAAUAAUUACAUGCAGUGUUCAAAGGCGGCUGGCAGGAUCUGGGACCUCUUUCGUCACUGUGUCAUUUGGAUUGCUGACUUGUGCACAGUCAAGAAAAAUCACUUUUUUUUUU